GUCACCGUUGACGCGCCCGUUCAUAGGUAUUUGUCAGAAACCAGCAGAAAGGAAAUUUGGAACUGAGGGUGACCCUAGUAGCCUCAGAUCUGCAAAUACCAAUGGGACUGGAAAGAGGCCAGAAGAAAUUUGAGCCCUUCGGUUUGACAAGCUGGGAUCCUUCUGUCUCCUGCCGUUUCCCUGCCAUUGCUGAGGCGGCAACGAACAGUCCCCGACACGUCGUGUCCCCUUCUUGAUACCAGGAAAUCAACUGAGGAGUUUGGGAGUGGCUCAUAGCUGCUGCCCGUAAAAGAGCCAGAUCAUAGCUUUCUCAAUGAGAACCAAGUUACAAAACCCUGCUUUGAAAACAGUCCGGCUUUUAACUCGCUUUUACUGCUUGGUCUCCAGCAGGUGGAGCCUUUCUGGGAAGCACAAGGCGUCUCUUGGCGUCCCACAUUUUUCCCCCGAGCAACGCCACACCGGGCCAGGACUGGCUGGCACACGACGUCAAAUGAAGUCAUAAACAAUUUGUAUGUCACGAAAUCAAGCUUCCAAGAGUGUCCUUCGCGUUCAGAGAAGAGAACGCGGGACCAACACUCGGGCGGCAGCGAACCCCGCGGUUGCUCCAGCAACGCAUCCCGGCCGCGCGGUUCGACUGCUGCCUGCGGGAGCCGCGCCCCGCGCUUCUGCGCAGCCGGGCUGAGGGCGGGCGAGCAGAGAACGGCCCCGGGAACCGCAGAGAAGGCAGAGGGGCGCUAAAAAGCACCCACGUACCUUAUCUAUACCUAGAGACCUCUUUGCUUUUGGACUUUGCACUAAGAGCUCUGUGCGCGAGAGAAAAGGGGCAUGUGCCUUGGCGGUAGAUUCGAAUUUCAGUUUUUACACGGACUGCUUGAGUUCAGAAAUGAAGAUAUAUCCUAUCAGGAAGGAGUCCUAAGGCCGUUUAUAGCUGUGGGGUUCCAUGGUGUAAUGGUUAGCACUCUGGACUCUGAAUCCAGCGAUCCGAGUUCAAAUCUCGGUGGAACCUAGGCUCCUUUUUCUCUUUACCGAUUCCUGUCUUUUGUUGUUUCCCUUUUAGGGAUGGUUGGUAGGGAAUUCCUGGGUUCACAUAAACCCAGAGUGUGAUCUAGAAGGGGAAGAUGACACGGACUCUGGGUGGGCUCCACUGAUUCCCUGCUGUAUGUUCGGAGCAGGGGCCCAUCUCUCCUUUUCCCUCCCCCAACUCCUCUCCCACGUAACAGGUAAUCUGUGACAUCCAUAUAAUUUUGAGUUGAGCUGACCUUUUCCUCUGACUUACUGCUUUAUAAAAUGUAGUGAACUCAUGUGUAGGAGCGAAAGGAUUCGACAAAAUUGAAGGAGAAGACAAAUUCUCGUGGAUGUGAAACUUUUCUGCCCAGAGAGAAUGAGACUCCAUAAUGCCUAUUAGGUACAGUGACCAGAGCUGAUAGGUGUUUCAUUUUCCACUAAGAAAUGAAGAUUUGUGAAAAUCUAUUCAUACUUUAAAUUUCCUGAACUCACUCAGGUAUUUAAACACUACUGGAUGCCCACAUGGAAACGUGAAGUACUGUCAACAGAACAAGUAAAGAUUCAGACACACUUUUUAAGCAUUUCCAUAGUGUUCCUUUGGUCAUUUCUAUGACAUGAAUCUACUACGCAGACCUGCUCUCUCUAAUGAGUAUGUUCCACAGAAAUCACAGCACUUUCAAAUUGUACCCUGGGAUGUCUCUGUGAUCAUUUUAUCUUCGUAAAACUAAAGGCUGCUAUUGCAAGUGAGUUCAUUUUCUGGCAAAUGUCUGUAUGUGUCACAACUUAAGGCAAGAUGAAGAAGUUACUGAGGCCCUCAAGAAGGUUCCAGUCUUUCUCAACGAGGGCCCUGACCGUUGUAUAACAGACCUGCAUCUGCUAAGCAUUCAAUCAUCUUCUAAGUUCAAAUGACGCUAAAUGUAAGGUUCUGAGAAUGCCCCUCAGCUGUGUCAGUUCUCCUGCCACAGGAAAUAAAGGCCUCUCUGC